rnacentral:rRNA from 1 species
UUAAGCGACUAAGCGUACACGGUGGAUGCCUAGGCAGUCAGAGGCGAUGAAGGGCGUGCUAAUCUGCGAAAAGCGUCGGUAAGCUGAUAUGAAGCGUUACAACCGACGAUACCCGAAUGGGGAAACCCAGUGCAAUUCGUUGCACUAUUGCAUGGUGAAUACAUAGCCAUGCAAGGCGAACCGGGGGAACUGAAACAUCUAAGUACCCCGAGGAAAAGAAAUCAACCGAGAUUCCCCCAGUAGCGGCGAGCGAACGGGGAGGAGCCCAGAGUCUGAAUCAGUUUGUGUGUUAGUGGAAGCGUCUGGAAAGUCGCACGGUACAGGGUGAUAGUCCCGUACACAAAAAUACACUUGCUGUGAACUCGAUGAGUAGGGCGGGACACGUGACAUCCUGUCUGAAUAUGGGGGGACCAUCCUCCAAGGCUAAAUACUCCUGACUGACCGAUAGUGAACCAGUACCGUGAGGGAAAGGCGAAAAGAACCCCGGCGAGGGGAGUGAAAUAGAACCUGAAACCGUGUACGUACAAGCAGUGGGAGCACCUUCGUGGUGUGACUGCGUACCUUUUGUAUAAUGGGUCAGCGACUUAUAUUUUGUAGCAAGGUUAACCGAAUAGGGGAGCCGUAGGGAAACCGAGUCUUAACUGGGCGUCUAGUUGCAAGGUAUAGACCCGAAACCCGGUGAUCUAGCCAUGGGCAGGUUGAAGGUUGGGUAACACUAACUGGAGGACCGAACCGACUAAUGUUGAAAAAUUAGCGGAUGACUUGUGGCUGGGGGUGAAAGGCCAAUCAAACCGGGAGAUAGCUGGUUCUCCCCGAAAGCUAUUUAGGUAGCGCCUCGUGAACUCAUCUUCGGGGGUAGAGCACUGUUUCGGCUAGGGGGUCAUCCCGACUUACCAAACCGAUGCAAACUCCGAAUACCGAAGAAUGUUAUCACGGGAGACACACGGCGGGUGCUAACGUCCGUCGUGAAGAGGGAAACAACCCAGACCGCCAGCUAAGGUCCCAAAGUCAUGGUUAAGUGGGAAACGAUGUGGGAAGGCACAGACAGCCAGGAUGUUGGCUUAGAAGCAGCCAUCAUUUAAAGAAAGCGUAAUAGCUCACUGGUCGAGUCGGCCUGCGCGGAAGAUGUAACGGGGCUAAACCAUGCACCGAAGCUGCGGCAGCGACGCUUAGGCGUUGUUGGGUAGGGGAGCGUUCUGUAAGCCGUUGAAGGUGGACUGUGAGGUCUGCUGGAGGUAUCAGAAGUGCGAAUGCUGACAUAAGUAACGAUAAUGCGGGUGAAAAGCCCGCACGCCGGAAGACCAAGGGUUCCUGUCCAACGUUAAUCGGGGCAGGGUGAGUCGACCCCUAAGGCGAGGCUGAAAAGCGUAGUCGAUGGGAAACAGGUUAAUAUUCCUGUACUCGGUGUUACUGCGAAGGGGGGACGGAGAAGGCUAGGCUAGCCGGGCGACGGUUGUCCCGGUUUAAGCAUGUAGGCGGAGUGACCUGGUAAAUCCGGUUGCUUAUCAACGCUGAGGUGUGAUGACGAUGCACUACGGUGCAGAAGUAGUUGAUGCCAAGCUUACAGGAAAAGCCUCUAAGCAUCAGGUAACAUUGAAUCGUACCCCAAACCGACACAGGUGGUCAGGUAGAGAAUACUCAGGCGCUUGAGAGAACUCGGGUGAAGGAACUAGGCAAAAGGGUGCCGUAACUUCGGGAGAAGGCACGCUGGCAUUAGGUAAAGAGACUUGCUCUCGUAGCCGAAGCCAGUCGCAGAUACCAGCUGGCUGCAACUGUUUAAUAAAAACACAGCACUGUGCAAACACGAAAGUGGACGUAUACGGUGUGACGCCUGCCCGGUGCUGGAAGGUUAAUUGAUGGGGUCAGCCGCAAGGCGAAGCUCUUGAUCGAAGCCCCAGUAAACGGCGGCCGUAACUAUAACGGUCCUAAGGUAGCGAAAUUCCUUGUCGGGUAAGUUCCGACCUGCACGAAUGGCGUAAUGAUGGCCAGGCUGUCUCCACCCGAGACUCAGUGAAAUUGAACUCGCUGUGAAGAUGCAGUGUACCCGCGGCAAGACGGAAAGACCCCGUGAACCUUUACUAUAGCUUGACACUGAACAUUGAGCCUUGAUGUGUAGGAUAGGUGGGAGGCAUCGAAGCGUGGACGCCAGUCUGCGUGGAGCCAACCUUGAAAUACCACCCUUUAAUGUUUGAUGUUCUAACUCGGCCCCGUAAUCCGGGGUGAGGACAGUGUCUGGUGGGUAGUUUGACUGGGGCGGUCUCCUCCCAAAGAGUAACGGAGGAGCACGAAGGUUAGCUAAUCACGGUCGGACAUCGUGAGGUUAGUGCAAAGGCAUAAGCUAGCUUGACUGCGAGAGUGACGGCUCGAGCAGGUACGAAAGUAGGUCUUAGUGAUCCGGUGGUUCUGAAUGGAAGGGCCAUCGCUCAACGGAUAAAAGGUACUCCGGGGAUAACAGGCUGAUACCGCCCAAGAGUUCAUAUCGACGGCGGUGUUUGGCACCUCGAUGUCGGCUCAUCACAUCCUGGGGCUGAAGUAGGUCCCAAGGGUAUGGCUGUUCGCCAUUUAAAGUGGUACGCGAGCUGGGUUUAGAACGUCGUGAGACAGUUCGGUCCCUAUCUGCCGUGGGCGUUGGAAGAUUGAGAGGGGCUGCUCCUAGUACGAGAGGACCGGAGUGGACGAAUCACUGGUGUUCGGGUUGUCAUGCCAAUGGCAUUGCCCGGUAGCUAAAUUCGGAAGAGAUAACCGCUGAAAGCAUCUAAGCGGGAAACUUGCCUCGAGAUGAGUCUUCCCUGGGGCUUUAAGCCCCCUGAAGGAACGUUAAAGACUAUGACGUUGAUAGGCUGGGUGUGUAAGUGCAGCGAUGCAUUGAGCUAACCAGUACUAAUGAUCCGUGAGGCUUAACCUU